rnacentral:rRNA from 1 species
AACUCUUAACGAUGGAUGACUCGACUCUCGUAACGAGGAAGGACGCAGCAAACCGCGAUAAGCAGUAUGACUUGCGUACACUCGUGAAUCACCAGAUUUCUGAACGCAUUUGUACUCCUGGCUUCGGCCUCGAGUAUGCUUGGCUCGGUAUCAUAU